rnacentral:rRNA from 1 species
UACGAAGGGUGCAAACGUUGCUCGGAAUUAUUGGGCGUAAAGAGCUCGUAGGCGGCUUGUCGCGUCGACUGUGAAAACCCGUGGCUCAACCAUGUGGUCUGCAGUCGAUACGGGCAGGCUAGAAUUCGGUAGGGGAGACUGGAAUUCCUGGUGUAGCGGUGAAAUGCGCAGAUAUCAGGAGGAACACCGGUGGCGAAGGCGGGUCUCUGGGCCGAUAUUGACGCUGAGGAGCGAAAGCGUGGGGAGCGAACAGG